GACGAACGCUGGCGGCGUGCUAACACAUGCAAGUCGAGCGGAAAGGCCACUUCGGUGGUACUCGAGCGGCGAACGGGUGAGUAACACGUGAGUAAUCUGCCCUUCACUUUGGGAUAACCCCCGGAAACGGGAGCUAAUACCGGAUACGACCUUCAACCGCAUGGUUUGUUGGUGGAAACUUUUUGGGUGGGGGAUGUGCUCGCGGCCUAUCAGCUUGUUGGUGGGGUAAUGGCCUACCAAGGCUUUGACGGGUAGCCGGCCUGAGAGGGUGACCGGCCACACUGGGACUGAGACACGGCCCAGACUCCUACGGGAGGCAGCAGUGGGGAAUAUUGGACAAUGGGCGGAAGCCUGAUCCAGCAACGCCGCGUGAGGGAUGACGGCCUUCGGGUUGUAAACCUCUUUCAGCACCGACGAAGCGCAAGUGACGGUAGGUGCAGAAGAAGGACCGGCCAACUACGUGCCAGCCGCCGCCGUAACAC
rnacentral:rRNA from 1 species